rnacentral:rRNA from 1 species
CCUACGGGAGGCAGCAGUGAGGAAUAUUGGUCAAUGGACGCAAGUCUGAACCAGCCAUGCCGCGUGCAGGAAGACGGCUCUAUGAGUUGUAAACUGCUUUUGUACGAGGGUAAACUCAGAUACGCGUAUCUGUCUGCAAGUAUCGUACGAAUAAGGAUCGGCUAACUCCGUGCCAGCAGCCGCGGUAAUACGGAGGAUUCAGGCGUUAUCCGGAUUUAUUGGGUUUAAAGGGUGCGUAGGCGGUCGGAUAAGUUAGAUGUGAAAUCCCGAGGCUCAACUUCGGAAUUGCCUCGGAUACUGUUCGGCUAGAGAGCAGUUGCGGUAGGCGGAAUGUAUGGUGUAGCGGUGAAAUGCUUAGAGAUCAUACAGAACACCGAUUGCGAAGGCAGCUUACCAUGCUACUUCUGACGUUGAGGCACGAAAGUGUGGGGAGCAAACAGGAUUAGAUACCCUUGUAGUC